rnacentral:rRNA from 1 species
GGUUAAGCGACUAAGCGUACACGGUGGAUGCCCUGGCAGUCAGAGGCGAUGAAGGACGUGCUAAUCUGCGAAAAGCGUCGGUAAGGUGAUAUGAACCGUUAUAACCGGCGAUGUCCGAAUGGGGAAACCCAGUGCAAUUCGUUGCACUAUCGUUAACUGAAUACAUAGGUUAACGAGGCGAACCGGGGGAACUGAAACAUCUAAGUACCCCGAGGAAAAGAAAUCAACCGAGAUUCCCCCAGUAGCGGCGAGCGAACGGGGAGCAGCCCAGAGUCUGAAUCAGCUUGUGUGUUAGUGGAACGGUCUGGAAAGUCCGACGGUACAGGGUGAUAGUCCCGUACACCAAAAUGCACAGGUUGUGAACUCGAAGAGUAGGGCGGGACACGUGGUAUCCUGUCUGAAUAUGGGGGGACCAUCCUCCAAGGCUAAAUACUCCUGACUGACCGAUAGUGAACCAGUACCGUGAGGGAAAGGCGAAAAGAACCCCGGCGAGGGGAGUGAAAAAGAACCUGAAACCGUGUACGUACAAGCAGUGGGAGCACCUUCGGGUGUGACUGCGUACCUUUUGUAUAAUGGGUCAGCGACUUAUAUUCUGUAGCAAGGUUAACCGUAUAGGGGAGCCGCAGGGAAACCGAGUCUUAACUGGGCGUUAAGUUGCAGGGUAUAGACCCGAAACCCGGUGAUCUAGCCAUGGGCAGGUUGAAGGUUGGGUAACACUAACUGGAGGACCGAACCGACUAAUGUUGAAAAAUUAGCGGAUGACUUGUGGCUGGGGGUGAAAGGCCAAUCAAACCGGGAGAUAGCUGGUUCUCCCCGAAAGCUAUUUAGGUAGCGCCUCGUGAACUCAUCUUCGGGGGUAGAGCACUGUUUCGGCUAGGGGGUCAUCCCGACUUACCAACCCGAUGCAAACUACGAAUACCGAAGAAUGUUAUCACGGGAGACACACGGCGGGUGCUAACGUCCGUCGUGAAGAGGGAAACAACCCAGACCGCCAGCUAAGGUCCCAAAGUCAUGGUUAAGUGGGAAACGAUGUGGGAAGGCACAGACAGCCAGGAUGUUGGCUUAGAAGCAGCCAUCAUUUAAAGAAAGCGUAAUAGCUCACUGGUCGAGUCGGCCUGCGCGGAAGAUGUAACGGGGCUAAACCAUGCACCGAAGCUGCGGCAGCGACACUAUGUGUUGUUGGGUAGGGGAGCGUUCUGUAAGCCUGCGAAGGUGUGCUGUGAGGCAUGCUGGAGGUAUCAGAAGUGCGAAUGCUGACAUAAGUAACGAUAAAGCGGGUGAAAAGCCCGCUCGCCGGAAGACCAAGGGUUCCUGUCCAACGUUAAUCGGGGCAGGGUGAGUCGACCCCUAAGGCGAGGCCGAAAGGCGUAGUCGAUGGGAAACAGGUUAAUAUUCCUGUACUUGGUGUUACUGCGAAGGGGGGACGGAGAAGGCUAUGUUAGCCGGGCGACGGUUGUCCCGGUUUAAGCAUGUAGGCUGGUUAUCCAGGCAAAUCCGGAUAAUCAAGGCUGAGGUGUGAUGACGAGGCACUACGGUGCUGAAGUAACAAAUGCCCUGCUUCCAGGAAAAGCCUCUAAGCAUCAGGUAACAUCAAAUCGUACCCCAAACCGACACAGGUGGUCAGGUAGAGAAUACCAAGGCGCUUGAGAGAACUCGGGUGAAGGAACUAGGCAAAAUGGUGCCGUAACUUCGGGAGAAGGCACGCUGGUGUGUAGGUGAAGCCCCUGCGGGUGGAGCUGAGACCAGUCGAAGAUACCAGCUGGCUGCAACUGUUUAUUAAAAACACAGCACUGUGCAAACACGAAAGUGGACGUAUACGGUGUGACGCCUGCCCGGUGCCGGAAGGUUAAUUGAUGGGGUUAUCCGUAAGGAGAAGCUCUUGAUCGAAGCCCCGGUAAACGGCGGCCGUAACUAUAACGGUCCUAAGGUAGCGAAAUUCCUUGUCGGGUAAGUUCCGACCUGCACGAAUGGCGUAAUGAUGGCCAGGCUGUCUCCACCCGAGACUCAGUGAAAUUGAACUCGCUGUGAAGAUGCAGUGUACCCGCGGCAAGACGGAAAGACCCCGUGAACCUUUACUAUAGCUUGACACUGAACAUUGAGCCUUGAUGUGUAGGAUAGGUGGGAGGCUUUGAAGCGUGGACGCCAGUCUGCGUGGAGCCAACCUUGAAAUACCACCCUUUAAUGUUUGAUGUUCUAACGUUGGCCCCUUACCGGGGUUGCGGACAGUGUCUGGUGGGUAGUUUGACUGGGGCGGUCUCCUCCCAAAGCGUAACGGAGGAGCACGAAGGUUAGCUAAUCCUGGUCGGACAUCAGGAGGUUAGUGCAAUGGCAUAAGCUAGCUUGACUGCGAGCGUGACGGCGCGAGCAGGUGCGAAAGCAGGUCAUAGUGAUCCGGUGGUUCUGAAUGGAAGGGCCAUCGCUCAACGGAUAAAAGGUACUCCGGGGAUAACAGGCUGAUACCGCCCAAGAGUUCAUAUCGACGGCGGUGUUUGGCACCUCGAUGUCGGCUCAUCACAUCCUGGGGCUGAAGUAGGUCCCAAGGGUAUGGCUGUUCGCCAUUUAAAGUGGUACGCGAGCUGGGUUUAGAACGUCGUGAGACAGUUCGGUCCCUAUCUGCCGUGGGCGCUGGAGAAUUGAGGGGGGCUGCUCCUAGUACGAGAGGACCGGAGUGGACGCAUCACUGGUGUUCGGGUUGUCAUGCCAAUGGCACUGCCCGGUAGCUAAAUGCGGAAGAGAUAAGUGCUGAAAGCAUCUAAGCACGAAACUUGCCCCGAGAUGAGUUCUCCCUGAGACUUUAAGUCUCCUGAAGGAACGUUAAAGACGAUGACGUUGAUAGGCCGGGUGUGUAAGCGCAGCGAUGCGUUGAGCUAACCGGUACUAAUGAACCGUGAGGCUUAACCUU